ACGGAGGGUGCGAGCGUUAUUCGGAAUUACUGGGCGUAAAGCGCGUGCAGGCGGUUUGGCAAGUCUGAUGUGAAAGCCCCCGGCUUAACCUGGGAAGCGCAUUGGAAACUGCCGGUCUUGAGUACUGGUGAGGAAGGGGGAAUUCCCGGUGUAGAGGUGAAAUGCGUAGAGAUCGGGAGGAAUACCGAUGGCGAAGGCAGCCUUCUAGACGGUUACUGACGCUGAGACGCGAAAGCGUGGGGAGCAAACAG
rnacentral:rRNA from 1 species